UACGGGGGGGGUAAGCGUUGUUCGGAAUUACUGGGCGUAAAGGGCUCGUAGGCGGCCAACUAAGUCAGACGUGAAAUCCCUCAGCUUAACUGGGGAACUGCGUCUGAUACUGGAUGGCUUGGAUUCGGGAGAGGAAUGCGGAAUUCCAGGUGUAGCGGUGAAAUGCGUAGAUAUCUGGAGGAACACCGGUGGCGAAGGCGGCAUUCUGGACCGACAUUGACGCUGAGGCGCGAAAGCGUGGGGAGCAAACAGG
rnacentral:rRNA from 1 species